CUCCUACAUGGUGCUCUUUGAGCUGCUGGUUCUCCUAGAGAAGCUCUAGUCCUUACAUAAAGCAUUGCUUCCUGGCUCUGGAAGGGAAGACGUGUGCUGCUUAAUCUCCAGGAUGAACUCGUCACUGGUUUCCUCCAUUUCUGUGUAAAUACCUGUGAUGGCUGACAAUGUCAACCUGAGGAAGAGAGGCUCAGCGAUUCCACACCCUAAGGUGUAGAAGACCCACCCAAGCAAGAGCAGCUCAUCACCUGGCUGGUAUAAAGGGGGAAAUGAGGAAGGAUAGAUUCCCUUUUGCUUGGAGGAGCUCUAGUCUUCAUCUGUACCUUGGGUGUCAUCUCUUGGCUUCCAGUGCAGACUUCAGCCUCCACCACAGACCUGUUUGCAUUCUCAUAUGGACUCGAACAGAACACUACAGUUAUCUCCAGACCCUGGACAGAAUCCUUCUUCUCCAGUGUGCAGACACCCUCUGCACGCUUCAUCAUCUACCCUGUGGGUGGCCACUAGUCUUACACAGAUGCUUUUCAGUCCUCAUCUUCCCUGACAUCACAGCAACAAGACAACUGCUUAUCUUAGAGAAGGACAUUCUCCUUCUCUCAGCUCUCAGGAAUCAAGUCUCCUGAUUUUUCUUUCUGCCAUCCUCGCUACCUUUGGCCACGGAACGCUGGAGCAC